rnacentral:rRNA from 1 species
GACGAACGCUGGCGGCGUGCUUAACACAUGCAAGUCGAACGGUGAAGCGCCUUCCUUUUUGGUGGGUGUGGAUGAGUGGCGAACGGGUGAGUAACACGUGAGUAACCUGCCCCCUUCUUCUGGAUAACCGCAUGAAAGUGUGGCUAAUACGGGAUAUUCUGGGUCUGUCGCAUGAUGGGUCUGGGAAAGAUAUUGUUUCGGUGGGGGAUGGGCUCGCGGCCUAUCAGCUUGUUGGUGGGGUGAUGGCCUACCAAGGCGGUGACGGGUAGCCGGCCUGAGAGGGUGGACGGUCACACUGGGACUGAGACACGGCCCGGACUCCUACGGGAGGCAGCAGUGGGGAAUAUUGCACAGUGGGCGCAAGCCUGAUGCAGCGACGCCGCGUGAGGGAUGGAGGCCUUCGGGUUGUGAACCUCUUUCGCCAGUGAAGCAGGCCUGCCUCGUUUGUGGGUGGGUUGACGGUAGCUGGAGAAGAAGCGCCGGCUAACUACGUG